AUUGAACGCUGGCGGCAUGCCUUACACAUGCGAGUCGAACGGCAGCACGGGUGCUUGCCCCUGGUGGCGAGUGGCGAACGGGUGAGUAAUACAUCGGAACAUGUCCUGUAGUGGGGGAUAGCCCGGCGAAAGCCGGAUUAAUACCGCAUACGAUCCACGGAUGAAAGCGGGGGACCUUCGGGCCUCGCGCUAUAGGGUUGGCCGAUGGCUGAUUAGCUAGUUGGUGGGGUAAAGGCCUACCAAGGCGACGAUCAGUAGCUGGUCUGAGAGGACGACCAGCCACACUGGGACUGAGACACGGCCCAGACUCCUACGGGAGGCAGCAGUGGGGAAUUUUGGACAAUGGGCGAAAGCCUGAUCCAGCAAUGCCGCGUGUGUGAAGAAGGCCUUCGGGUUGUAAAGCACUUUUGUCCGGAAAGAAAUCCUUGGCUCUAAUACAGUCGGGGGAUGACGGUACCGGAAGAAUAAGCACCGGCUAACUACGUG
rnacentral:rRNA from 1 species